CAGUCCAAAGUAUUCCAAGGAACGAACGACACACGCAAUGCCACCAAAAGUCUCUUGCGCCAUUGCUUUCAGGUCAGACUGGUGAGCGCACUGGAAGCCAGCAAACUGCGAAUGUCACUGAACAAGCAAUAGAUGAUCCACAGCUGGAUUUCCUUUCCAUUGAGGG